UCAGGGGGCAGUGUGGAAGCUAUGUUGCUGUGAAGACUGUAGAAUUUAUGCUGGAAAAAAAUGCUGAAUGUCUGUUUCUCCAGGGCUAUGUUUCAUUUGAACUGCAACUAAGAAUCCAUGGACUAAAUACAAAGGACUAAUAUUCCCUUGGAUUUACAAGAUGACUAUUAUGUUCAAUGAAAAUGCAGUGCUUAAACAUUUGACACUGGGAGUCAAAAGGAUUUACCAUCAAUGCCAGAUGAAGAAGUCAGCGAUCUUCAAAAGUUAAUGUGAUGCAUUUUGUCCUUUUUGUUGGCUCUAUAAAGGUAUCAUCAUGAUGCAUAUUUUGGAUUUUGUUGUAUUUUGCUCUGUGGCCAAUGUUUUCCCAUAUUUAAAACUUUUUAUU